rnacentral:rRNA from 1 species
CGACCGAGAUGAACACCCGCAAUUUAAUACGUUGUGGGACUGACAGUAUCGAGAGAAGAAGCCCCGGCUAACUCUGUGCCAGCAGCCGCGGUAAUACAGGGGGGGCAAGCGUUGUUCGGAAUUACUGGGCGUAAAGGGUUCGUAGGUGCCAACUAAGUCAGAUGUGAAAUCCCUCAGCUUAACUGGGGAACUGCUUCUGAUACUGGUUGGCUUGAGUGCAGGAGAGGAAUGCGGAAUUCCAGGUGUAGCGGUGAAAUGCGUAGAUAUCUGGAGGAACACCGGUGGCGAAGGCGGCAUUCUGGACUGUAACUGACACUGAGGAACGAAAGCCAGGGGAGCAAACGGGAUUAGAUACCCCGGUAGUCCUGGCCCUAAACGAUGAAUGCUUGGUGUGGCGGGUAUCGAUCCCUGCCGUGCCGAAGUUAACGCAUUAAGCAUUCCGCCUGGGGAGUACGGUCGCAAGGCUG